rnacentral:rRNA from 1 species
CCUACGGGAGGCAGCAGUGGGGGAUAUUGCACAAUGGGGGGAACCCUGAUGCAGCGACGCCGCGUGGGUGAAGAAGCGCCUCGGCGCGUAAAGCUCUGUCAGCAGGGAAGAAAAUGACGGUACCUGAAGAAGAAGCCCCGGCUAACUACGUGCCAGCAGCCGCGGUAAUACGUAGGGGGCAAGCGUUAUCCCGAUUUACUGGGUGUAAAGGGGGCGCAGGCGGAGAUGCAAGCCAGGAGUGAAAGCCCGAGGCGCAACCCCGGGACUGCUCUUGGAACUGCGUGGCUAGAGUGCAGGAGGGGCAGGCGGAAUUCCAGGUGUAGCGGUGAAAUGCGUAGAUAGCAGGAGGAACACCGGUGGCGAAGGCGGCCUGCUGGACUGCAACUGACGUUGAGGCCCGAAAGCGUGGGGAGCAAACAGGAUUAGAUACCCGUGUAGUC